GUCACCGCCCCUCCCCGCGGCUCUCCGCUCUUGCGAAGGCUGGAGUUUGCUCACCGGGGAGUUUCGCUUCACACCGCGCUGGCUUCGUGCCCUGCGCGAGGUCACAGCAGCAGGGGAGCUCGCUGCUGAGGCCAAAGGGUUGGCAAUUCUGUAGCCUGAAAUCUCUGAAGAACAGAAAACCAAAGAAGACAGAGUAAAAGAGGAGAGAUCUGGGCUCAGGAACCGGAAAGGAUCCCAUCUCCUUGGAUCUGUGAAAAAUUGUAGUAAAAUCAACACAAUUACACAGUCUGAAGCAGCCCAAGUAACUGCUCCCCCAAGAGAAAGCAGUUUUCUCUACGAAGCAUUGAGACCCCGAAGGUCCCUCUGUUCGCUGGACCUGCAUGAGAGACUGGAAGUAUUUCAGAGAAAGCUACCUCUGAGGCCUUGGACCUGUAAGCCUUCUACCUAGUAGUCUAAAUUUAACUUCCAGGACCUCUCUUCUAGAUCUCUGGUACCAAGAUGUAACAUGACCACAGAGUCCUCUCUAGCUCUUUCCAAAAAGGACUUCAUUGGGAGCUCCUGGGAAAAUCAGGCCACUUAUUUAGGUGCCUAUUUUUGCCAUUAGGAGUGUUUGAAAAUCUUGGGUGAAGUAAUACGUUACAAAAUUACAGUAUGGAUGAGGACGGGGAACCUAACUUUACGCUCCCAUUUUUGAAAAUUUUGGCCAUAUCACUUUCCAAAACUAUAAUCACUUGGGCUAAAAUUUGCUUGGUUUUUGCUUAAAUGUGACUUGUUUGUAAAUUCUGAAGACAUCUAUUCACUUAGAGUUGAAUUUUCUACUACACUGAAGAAUUGGAGGGGUUCAGAGAAAAGCAACAAGAAUGACUCGGAGCGUGGCAAAAACACUCUCAUAUGAACAGAAAUGGAAAAGUCUGGGGCUGUUUAUCUUAGAAUGGAGCUGAAUAAGAAGGGACAUGACAACAAGUUGAUAAAAUAAUGAAUGAUAUUUAGGUUAAAUAGGGAGAAUUGAAGCUACCUGUCUCAUAACACAAGAAAAUGAAAUCAAAAGGUGGCAAAUUCAAAACUGAUAAAAGGAAAUAUUUUUUCACACAACAUAUAAUUAGGCUGUAGGAUUCAUUGACACGGGCUACUGAGGUCAAGAAUUUUGCAAGACUCAAAGAGUAGAUUGGAUGGUUAUAGGGAAAACAAGAAUAUCCAGAGUUAUAAUAAUUAAUUGGAAAAAAUAUUGGAAGGUAUAUUCAACCUCAUACUUCAGGGAUUAAGCCAAUGUCUAACUAGUUAGAAUUCAGAGGUGACUGUGGGUGCAGAUUACCCGAUAUCUGCCUACUGUGCCUGUCUUGCGUAAAGGGUGAGUGGAAAGAUAACUGCAAUCUUCUUAAAAUGACAAUGGCCAGCACCAGAUGCUUCAGAGGAAGGUGCAAGUCUAUCUACUUCCCAGCUGCAAGGUAGCCAUAACCCUGUAUUUCAUUUCUCACCCCUCUUUUUUAAAUAUGUGCACACAGGUUAAAAAUGGCAUUUAUGGAAGAGAAGAACAUCCUGCACACAGAGGUGCCAGCUAUAAAUCUGCCACUGUUAAUAUCUCUCAAUCUCGCCCUCAUGAUCAGUUGUGCCUCCCAAUCAACCCUCUCCAUCCAUUCUAUGCUUUCACUCACUUCUCUCAGCCCACUAACCCACCAGUGAUUCACCUCUCACACCUUACCCACUACUUUCACUCUCAGUCACUGGCCCGCCAGUGUCACUUUAUCAGUCUUGCUCUCAUCAAACCAUUUCUUUCAGACACCCACCCCUCUUAUCCACCUCUCACACCCGAUGCAGAUAGGGACUUUAGUCAAUGUUCAGUCUGAGAUUCUUGGGUCAGAAGAUGCUAAGAGAGCGAUGACGGCAAUGGAUUGGAAAUCCUAUUGUCAGGAGAUGUGGCAUGUGUUCCUGGUGUUACAUGUUUCCGAGUUCCUGUGUGAGUUUGUGUCAAGUCCUUAGGCCCAGAUCCUCAAAGGUAUUUAGAGACUUAAUAUCGCAGAGGAUCUGGGCCUUACUUACAACAAGCCUUACUUACAACUAGCCCUGGGGUUAGUCAAGUGGGAUUUGUUAACCCUUCCCCCGCCCCCCCUUGACAUUCUGUACCCCAAUGCAAUACCGUGAGACCUUCAUAUUUACCAUGGUGAUAUGAUUAGGAUAUGUUUUAUACAAAGUAUGUCAUGUAAGGUAUCAAUGGAAAAGUUAUGACUUGUUGAAUAUGAUUACCCCAUUUGUAUGUAUGUAUCAUUUUUGUAUCAAAGUUAUGAAUAUUGACUAUGUACCAGUAUUUCAAAUGCGUCUGUUCCUAGGUAACACCCACAAAGUAAUUUACAUCCAGUCUAGCCAGCACAUUGUGAAUGAACCAUUCAAGAUAAUGUCCCAUUAAGAAACUCAAUAGGUCUUAGAAGAAGCUUAUCCCCACCCAAUGGACUUCCCCAGAAUAUAGGUAAUGGCCCCUGCUAUGAUUCAUCGAAGUAUGCAAGGGCAUGUGAUCAGAUCAUGUGAUACUGGUCUCCAUCUUGUGCCUGUUCUUUUCCACUGACUUUGUUUGGAGUCUUUGUUUGGAACAAUGAAGUUCCCUCCGCAUGGAAGAAACUAUAAAAGGGGGAAGUGACAUCAUCAAUUGGCCUCACUCUCCCCAUAACUCAACACCUGGAAACAUCUUAGGAACAAAGACUGGACUGGGGAGGUGGUCCCAGGCUGAAGGGAUUUCUAGCCUGUUUAUGGAAGAUUGGUGGACUGUACCAUCAGGGUGAGACACUGCUUGAUUCAAAUCCUGUCUAGUGUAUAGACCUGAUUGCAAUUUUGUUUUAUUUCUUUGGUAACUAACUUUGAUCUGUACACUAUUACUUAUAAUCACUUAAAAUCUAGCUUUCGGUAGUUAAUAAAUCAGUUUUUUUAUAUUUUUUACCUAAAA